CCCACCUUCUUCACCUUGCACAUGCUUGAAAAGCCUUCACUAAAUUUCCAAUUUGAUACUGGUUCAUAUUCUUUUUCAAUCCCAGAUGCAUAUUAUAGCUGUUUACAUUCAGACCAAGAAGAGUUACCUACUUCGCUCCUUCCUUGCAGAGUUCUGCCACCUCCUUCACCACUGGACGUGACCGCUCUCUUCCUCAGGUAAAAGGAACAAUGCAAAAUGGGCACAUAUAAUUGUAACCCCUCAUCACUAAGACAAAGCACUAAUCGAAUUUUUGGAAAUUCGAACUGAACUAAUGUCAGUAUAAUUCUCUUCAAGUGAACUUUUGGCCAUAGUUUAUCUCUUCCAGUAAUAGCAGUAUUCUCUGUAAGCAUCAGGUCCACAAACCACAUCAACCAUCUUAUCUGCAUCAAGUAUCUUGUCCUUUAACCGUUCAGCCAUACAUCCCAAAACAACCACCUUAGGAGGACUAAGUGACUGUGACCUUCCAAUAGCAACGCUGCUCUUCCAAUGUCUCUUUAGAAACCAAACAUAGUUCUGUCUCCGCCACACUUUUUGCUCCGCCUUGUCCUAUAUAGCACAAGUGAACAUCCACAAUUUCACUAUAGCCUCCAUAUCGUUAUUCAUCUGACAUCUAUAAGUCUCAUGAUAAAUACGGCCUCUUGAAUGAAUUUCAGAAUCUGGAGAAAAUUCUGAAGUGGGUAUGCGUUUGGGCAGCAAGGAGAGCAGCCUGUGCGAUGAAGUGGUAAAGACUAGGACCAUGGGUCUGAUUAGACAACGAAUGGUGAGGGUGAAACAAGCUUCUGAAGAGAUGAAGAGAAAAGCUCUUUCUUUUGAGGGUCCGGUGCGCGAAAUGACCAUAGCAAUGGGAAUUGUAAGGCUGAGGGUCGUUUGAUGAGAUAAAUCUGAUGCCGAAGAAGAAGCAUCUACUUAGGAUUUUGAGGGAGCGGUGAGGCAGGCUGGGAGAGAUGAGGGGAGAGAAGAGGUCUUUGGAAGAAGAGAACCUUAGAUGAAGGGGGUAACACUGUUUUUCUUCAUAUGUGCCACCUGAGCCUGAGCCUGAGCCUCAGCCCCAGUCUAGUUGGCUAGGGAUCGGCGGCAAUCUGAAAUCUGAACCUCCAAAACGCGCACCGUCUUCUCAAUUUUCUUUUUUUAAUAAGAAAACA
rnacentral:misc_RNA from 1 species